UACAACUUUCAGCAACGGAUCUCUUGGCUCUCGCAUCGAUGAAGAACGCAGCGAAAUGCGAUAAGUAAUGUGAAUUGCAGAAUUCAGUGAAUCAUCGAAUCUUUGAACGCACCUUGCGCUCCCUGGUAUUCCGGGGAGCAUGCCUGUUUGAGUGUCAUGGUAUUCUCAUCCUUCAUA
rnacentral:rRNA from 1 species